rnacentral:siRNA from 1 species
GAUGUGUCACUCAUAUGGAGAGUA